UGGGUGCGGUUCGUGCCGGCG
rnacentral:misc_RNA from 1 species